AGUAGCAUCAGCACGAGGGCCACAGCGGCGGGCGCCCCUGGCGCUGCCCACUCCCCCGUGAGCCGCGGGAUGUGAACCACGAAAACCCUCACUCGCGGCGGGCCGCACGCGCGCCGAAUCCGGAGGGUCACCAAGAACCUGCGCACCAUGUUCUCGCCGCCUCCAGGGCCGAGCUCGGCAGCCGCUGCGCCGCCCUUUGGCACCAGAGAUUUGGAAAACAAGCGAAAUUAAACUAAACCGCUGCACGCCUCUGACGCGACAUCUGGACACGGCGCGGCGCUGGCGCUGCCGGAGCUGUCGACCCGGCCUGGCGCCGGACUAGCGAGGCAGCCGAGCUGCAGACACAGAGAUGCAGAUCUUUGUGAAGACCCUC
rnacentral:lncRNA from 10 species